UGAAGGCUGUGGUGCUGCAGAAGGCUGCUGUUUUCAGCGAUGUAAGAUUAUAAACCUACUGUAGAAAUUCAUGUCAGCAUAAACCGUUGUCCACGCUUUUUCUAAGGUUAAACAUUCAUUAUGGUACAGUGUUUUGCCCCCGAUUGCAACCAUCAAAGUGAGAGAGAGACUUGUAAAUUCUUCCGUUUUCCGAAGAAUCCGAGACUAUUAAGAAUUUGGCGAGAGCGAUGCAGACGCCAAGACAAGGAAUCAAAUGAACAUUCGAGACUUUGCAGCUGUCACUUUGCAGAAGGAAAUAAAGUCAACGGUCCUUCAAUUUUCAAAAGGAAUGCAUCAAAGCUGUUUAUAUACAAAUCACCAGAGAGGAAAAAAGCUAAAAUAAAGGUCCUUGCUGCUGUUAUUACAGAAUCCAGUACAUCAACUGAUGCUGCUGAUCAUGCACAGCCUUUGACAUCUGAACCCAAGUUUCCUCAGGAAUCAGAAACUUUUAUUUUGCCGUGUGAAAAUGACACACUGAAAGAGGAAAUCUGACACCUGUAAAAAAAAUCUUCCAUAUAAAGCCUAACCUUUUCAAAUGUUGAAGGACAUUAUUAAAAAAAUAUUUUAGAAGAUCUUUUUUACACAGGACUACCUAAUUCACAAGUGUUCAGUUCAGAAGCCUUGUAAACCUGUGCUCUAGAUGUGCAUUUACCAAUGGCAAGGGAUGGUCUGUCGAGUCACAACGCAUUGAAGCACAGCUUCUGAUGACACAGAUGAAACUGUGACAAAGUUAUGGAAAUAAACAGAUUGCCUUUCGUUUCUCUGUAAGUGGCACUACUGUUGCUAUUAUUUUCAAAUGUUUGUGAAUCCCCUGUACAAAGUUCUUUGUGAGCAGUUUGGGAGAGAUCCCUUCAACAUCUAAGAACAAAACUUGCCUUCCAAGUUCUUUUGCAACAUACAGCAAUUGUUGAAUAAGUCCAAAUUGUACAGAACUACAGGUUGCAGUUCCGCGGAGCAGUAUGGAAGAGCAAAGACAGACCUUUUCACACUACAAGCAACACACCUGAAGGGUCUUGUUGGUGUAGCCCCUAAUGCUGUGGUAACGUUUUGCAGUGAACCAUUUCCUUACUCUACAUCUAAGAAGAUAUGUGAAGGCAUCUGAAAUCCUAAGUAAACUUUCACCAGGAGAUCUCAUAUUGGCUGACAAGGCAUUCAACAUGCAUGACAUUCUGCCUCAAGGAGGCUCUUUAAAUAUUCCAGCAGUCCUUACACAUUCUACAAUAAGAAGUUCCACAAGAAUAGCACAAGCAGGAAUCCAUGCACAGAGAGCAAUAACAAGAAUGAAAGAUUACUCAGUGCCAACUUUGAUCUCUGCACCUUAUCGGAACUGUCUAGAAAAAUAUUUAAACUGUGUGCCUCACUAGUAAACCUUCUAAAUCCUCUCAUAAAAGAGAUGGCGUCCUAUCUUGCAUAAAAUUAUAUUUAAUUUGUGGUAGAUUUACUAAGCUUUUGCCCCAGUGUAAAUUUGUAACAAUACUAUAAAAGUUUAAUGUAAAGAUGUUCGGGGCAAGAAUAACACAAAUAUGUAGUUGUACUGUGUAGUUUUCUAAUCCGUUAUGUGUUCACAAAAUACUCAUAGUACUACAAUUAUUUAUUAUUUAAACCAUCUUCCAUAAAUAGACUGCUUUCUUUGGACAGUUGAUUGUUAAUCCCACUCGUAUAUUUCCAGUGCUCUGUAUGAUUCCAGAACAAAUAAGUGUUCUUUAAAACAAAUUGAAUGAAAUGUACUUUUAUGAGAUGAUUUUAAGUAGUUGUGUUGUACCGCUCGGAUUUCAGAUAAAAUUAGCUAUAAACAUGAAGACAAAUGAAUCAGAAAGAAAUAAUGUAAAUAACUUACUUAAAGAAACAUCGUUAAAAGUAAUGCAGGAAGCAAAGAGAACAUCAUAGAAGAAUUCAAUAAAUUAAUUUGAGAUGAAUAGUGUCGUAGACUCUUGCCGUCAGAAAUAAGAGAAAUAACAAAAGAAGCUGAGUAUUUUGAGAAAAAUAGACUAAAAUAUUUAAAUGACAGGAAAUCAAAAAAAAAAAAUCCUAAAAUAAUUUCCUCAAAUUUGCCAUGUAAUAAUAUACCCAAGAGUCAAAGACCCAAUGAGAGAUAGUUGAAAGUAAUUGAAAUAUACACCUUGAUAUGGUAGCAGAAGAUCAGUGCUACAAGGAUGAAUAUGGAAAUAAAAUAUUAUUUUAGGUGUUUGAGUAGAGUUUUGUAUGAAACACAAUACUAUCAUAGAUUAGUAAGGGGGAAUAUUACUGAACACAUAGCUGAAAUGAAAAUAGAUACAAAUGUUAACUUGAUGAGAAUUAUAAAGAACACAUGGAGACACUUUAAGCAGUGGCGGCAUAGAGACCUGGGCUACCGAGGCAGAAGCUGUUGCUGCUGUAGAUAUUAUAAAUAGACAAAUACAUGUUUACUUAAACGUUGUAGGUCAGGAAUGCUUUAAAUAUGAAAGAACAGAAACGUCAGUUCCAUGUGAUGAAAAAACCAAAUAAUCUGUUAUAUAAAAAUAAUAAUUCUGAGUUAAUUAGAAUUAAAUGUAAUAACAAUAGCUAUAUAUCAAAUAUAUUGAGUGCAAGGAAUCGGAAUCAUGAUAAAAAAACAAAUACAUACAAAAAGAAGAGUGCAGAAUAGGGAUUUAGGAAAAGGAUCAAAUAAUAAUAAUGAGGUAACUAACAAACAAUCAGGUGAACAACAGCAAGAAUAUCAAAAUUAAAACAAACAAAGAGAAGAUCACUAAGGGUCAUGAAGUGGACACAGUAUUUAAUGUAUCUGAUAAAACAUUAACAGCCUGACAGAAAGCAUUACUCUGCAAGAGGCUCAAGUUUGUUCUGGCAAGAGGAUACAUAAAUAAGGAUAAGUUAUCCGAAUGUGCCUACUUUUAUGAUAAAACACACAGAAUCACAAUAUGUGUGUGAACAUGGAAUAAGAAUUAAAAGAAGGCACCAUUGGACUCCUCCAGAGGGAAGAAGUACAUGGUUAGACAUGGGCAUUGAAGUAGUUAGAAAUGAAAUAGUAACAGGCCGGAGAAGUAAAGGUAAACUAUAUUUAACUAUGAAUGAAGAAGAAGCGCUAAAGGAAUGAAUAAAGGAGGAUAGCCUUAUUAUAAGACCAGCAGAUGAAGGUUCUGGGGUGGUAGUAAUGCAUAAGAAUGAUUAUAUAAAAGCAGUAGGGACCAAAUUGCCAAAUAUAAAUACGUAUGAAGAAGUAAAAACUACUAAUAAUAACGGCCUAAUAAAAGAAGUGAAAAUUUUGGCAGAUUAUAUAAAAAUAUACAAAAAUGCACAAAGAAAAACACCCAAUGCGAAUGAUUGUUAGCACAAUUGAUAACCCAACAUAUGUUAUUGUGAAAAUAGCUAACAACCACUUCCUAUAUAACUAUAGGCACCUGCAGUGAAAACUAAAUAAAAUAAAAAAAGCUUCUAGGGUAAUCAAAAACAUUAUUUUUAUAAAGUGAUUAACAUGACAUGGCCAAACGUGUGGCUUUUCGUUCACAUAAAGUCAGAA